CAAAGACAAAUUGAUAUGAUAUCUCAACGUAAGGAGUUAAAAGACCACAGGUGGCCAAACCUCCAAGUUGCUUCUUGGCCGCUCAGAGAAAUAGACAUGGGAUAUGCAAAGCAGACAGAUAGCUCUUCAUGUGGUCUCUUUCUUUUGAACUAUAUCGAAUACUGGACAGGGGAUGAACUGUCUAACAGUUUUACCCAGGAUGACAUGUCACACUUUAGAAAGAAAAUGGCUGCUAUAUUACUAUCUUCAGAACUGAAUAAGAGAAGGGGGUGUCUGUUAUACAAAAAUGAUAAAGAAGUUGACUCUGGAAGCCCAUCGGAUGUUGAGAUAUUAGAAAACCCAACAGAUUCUAAGAAGAGGAAGCUACUCCACGUGCUUGAUGAUAACGAAGUAGUGUAUGAAGAUGAGGAAGGCCCUAUUACUCAAGCAGACUUGCAAAAGUGGUUUGUUGAUGAUUGGGAUAAAAGAACUCCUGUAAAAGUAUCUAACGAUGGGUGCACCAAUGACUUUUUAAUGGUUGGUCUUUCCACAAAGGACAUGCCAGUGACCAAAGCCGAUUCAAUAGAUGUUUUAUGUGAUUAUAUCAUGGCAAUAGAAGACGAUACGACACUAGAGAUGACAUGGGUGCGAAGUUUCAAUCCUUUUAAGAUAGAAAUAUCUGUUAAAGACCUACAAAAUAUAUUAACGAUAAAUAAAGAUAUGACUCUAAGAUGUUUUGACAUGGCUGUUCGGCUGCUUGCCAAUAAAGAGUCAUGUAGGCCGAAAGGAGAAAUCAUAAAUAAUAGAAAGC
rnacentral:misc_RNA from 1 species